rnacentral:rRNA from 1 species
AGCAGUCGCCGCGGUAAUACGAAGGGUGCAAGCGUUAAUCGGAAUUACUGGGCGUAAAGCGUGCGUAGGCGGUUUGUUAAGUCUGUUGUGAAAUCCCCGGGCUCAACCUGGGAAUGGCAAUGGAUACUGGCAAGCUAGAGUGUGUCAGAGGAUGGUGGAAUUCCCGGUGUAGCGGUGAAAUGUGUAGAGAUCGGGAGGAACAUCAGUGGCGAAGGCGGCCAUCUGGGACAACACUGACGCUGAGGCACGAAAGCGUGGGGAGCAAACAGGAUUAGAUACCCCCGUAGUCCCUGUCUCUUAUAA